rnacentral:piRNA from 1 species
UCCACGCCAUGGAAGGUUUGUUCUUUC